rnacentral:tRNA from 1 species
CAAGAAAUAGUUUAGUUAGAAUUUCAGUUUUGGGUACUGAUGGCGUGGCGCYUCUUU